UACGAAGGGGGCUAGCGUUGUCCGGAAUUACUGGGCGUAAAGGGCGCGUAGGCGGCUUCGAUAGUCGGGUGUGAAAUGCCUGGGCUCAACCCAGGAAUUGCACUCGAAACUCCGAGGCUUGAGUGUGGGAGAGGUUGGUGGAAUUCCCAGUGUAGAGGUGAAAUUCGUAGAUAUUGGGAAGAACACCGGUGGCGAAGGCGGCCAACUGGACCACAACUGACGCUGAGGCGCGAAAGCUAGGGGAGCAAACAGG
rnacentral:rRNA from 1 species